AACGAACGCUGGCGGCAGGCCUAACACAUGCAAGUCGAGCGCACCUUCGGGUGAGCGGCGGACGGGUUAGUAACGCGUGGGAAUAUACCCUUUGGUACGGAAUAGCCUCUGGAAACGGAGAGUAAUACCGUAUGAGCCCUUCGGGGGAAAGAUUUAUCGCCAAAGGAUUAGCCCGCGUUAGAUUAGGUAGUUGGUGGGGUAAUGGCCUACCAAGCCUACGAUCUAUAGCUGGUUUUAGAGGAUGAUCAGCAACACUGGGACUGAGACACGGCCCAGACUCCUACGGGAGGCAGCAGUGGGGAAUCUUGGACAAUGGGCGCAAGCCUGAUCCAGCCAUGCCGCGUGAGUGAUGAAGGCCUUAGGGUCGUAAAGCUCUUUCGCCUGUGAAGAUAAUGACGGUAGCAGGUAAAGAAACCCCGGCUAACUCCGUGCCAGCAGCCGCGGUAAUACGGAGGGGGUUAGCGUUGUUCGGAAUUACUGGGCGUAAAGCGCACGUAGGCGGACUGGAAAGUUGGGGGUGAAAUCCCAGGGCUCAACCCUGGAACUGCCUCCAAAACUAUCAGUCUAGAGUUCGAGAGAGGUGAGUGGAAUUCCGAGUGUAGAGGUGAAAUUCGUAGAUAUUCGGAGGAACACCAGUGGCGAAGGCGGCUCACUGGCUCGAUACUGACGCUGAGGUGCGAAAGUGUGGGGAGCAAACAGGAUUAGAUACCCUGGUAGUCCACACCGUAAACGAUGAAUGCCAGUCGUCGGGUAGCAUGCUAUUCGGUGACACACCUAACGGAUUAAGCAUCCGCC
rnacentral:rRNA from 1 species